CCCUGGAUGACUAGUGGUUAGGCCUCGGCGCUCUCACCACCAUGGCCUGGGUUCGAUUCCUGGUCUCGGAA